GCCAGCAGCCGCGGUAAUUCCAGCUCCAAUAGCGUAUNUUAAAGUUGUUGCAGUUAAAAAGCUCGUAGUUGAAUUUCGGGAUCAACACGUCGGUCGUGCCUCUGGUAUGUACUGGUGUCGUUGAUUUCUCCCUUCUGAGGAACCGCGAUGUCAUUAAUUUGGUGUGGUGGGAAAUCAGGACUGUUACUUGAAAAAAUUAGAGUGUUUAAAGCAGGCACACGCUUGAAUACAUUAGCAUGGAAUAAUGAAAUAGGACGUUCGACCUAUUUUGUUAGGUUUCUUAGGGAUCAACGUAAUGAUUAAUUAGGGAUAUUUGGGGGGCAUUAGUAUUCAAUUGUCAGAGGUGAAAUUCUUGGAUUUAUUGUAAGACUAAACUACUGCGAAAGCAUUUGCCAAGGAUGUUUUCAUUAAUCAAGAACGAAAGCUAGGGGGAUCGAAGACGAUCAGAUACCGUCGUAGUCUUAACCAUAAACUAUGCCGACUAGGGAUCGGAUGAUGUUAAUUUUUUAAUGACUCAUUCGGCGCCUUACGG
rnacentral:rRNA from 1 species